CUAAUUAAUUUACCGCCAUUUUCCAAAACUCCCACUAAAUCUAAUUAAUUCUCCCACUACACCACUUCACGUCUUCACAUCCCCACCAAAAUUCUCUCACUUUCACUACUAACCUAAUUGUAAUUCACGCCAAAUUAAGAGGAUCUCAUCUCCACUUUCACCUUUUGCAACUAGGGAUCGAAACCCUGGAGCCGCCCGC
rnacentral:lncRNA from 1 species